rnacentral:rRNA from 1 species
GGACUACUGGGGUAUCUAAUCCCGUUUGCUCCCCUGGCUUUCGCGCCUCAGCGUCAGAAGAGGUCCAGCGCGUCGCUUUCGCCACCGGCGUUCCUUCCGAUAUCUACGCAUUUCACCGCUCCACCGGAAGUUCCACACGCCCCUACCUCCCUCGAGACGGCCGGUAUCAGAGGCACUUUUCCGGUUGGGCCGAAAGAUUUCACCCCUGACUCGACCGCCCGCCUACGCGCCCUUUAAGCCCAGUGAAUCCGAACAACGUUCGCACGGUUCGUCUUACCGCGGCUGCUGGCAC